GAGUUAGUUUAUUUAAUUUUUUUACGUUUACAAAUUAGUCUCUAAUUAGCAUCUAAUAACAUUUCUUGGUGAGUUUUUCGGCCAUCCUACAUAUUUAAGAAUCGUAUGCAAAUUUAAAGGAAGCGACUUUCACAUUCUUUUUCUCUUUAUGGCCACCUGCAAUGGCAUAGCUGCCGCCCAGCGAUAAAAGAUACAAAUUUGUAUGAAUAAUUCAGUUCAGAAAGGAAGUGUAAAAAAUGUAACGCACAAUGCGCUCGCAUCGCACACAAGCUAGAAGGUGAGGCACUCGGAGAGUAAGAAAUAUCUGCCCAGUCUCGCCAUAAAAAAAAAAGAAGACCCUACAAAUUAUGAGCUUGAAGCGUGUCGUUUGCUGCAUUCCGCAGACGUCGGGAGCUGUCGCUGUGACAUAUGCACUCCAAAAUUGUUUUUGCGAUCCAUAUACAUAUACUUUAUGUGAAUACCCACCCACAGACCCUCUUAUAUGCCUGUCUGUGUGUGUGCGUGUGUGUGUUUGUGUGUGUAGGUGCCCUGCCCACGCAUUCUUGCCGACACUUCAAAAGCAUUCGCUGUGUGUGAAAAUUUUAUGUAUUGCCUUUAGCAGCAUCAUCAAAAAAGCACAAAAAAAGGAAUAAAAACAAAAAAAAAAAAAAAAUAAGACAUCAAUAUGAAAUUUUUGUCACGUUUUCUAAUGUGCCAAAGGAGCUGCCAAGUGCGGGAGGAGUAGGAGCUCCUCGAGGAGGCGGAGGAGUUGGCUGCUGGGCGGCAACUGGGAGACGCACAGCCGCGUGGGCGCGCCAUCACGCCCUCCCGUCAGACCCUAGAGCAAAUGUCGCGGCCAGCGGCGCGUUGCCAGAGGGAUUGAUGGGGCGUCGGUGGGUUUUGUUUUGUCAAGUGGAAGUGUGAAAUUGAAAUUCAUUUUGACACGAUGUGACAAGCAUUUCGUAGCAGCAGAGCAGCA